GUGCUCGCUUUGGCAGCACAUCAACUAAAAUUGGAAUGGUACAGCAAAGAUUAGCAUGGUGCUUCUGUGAGACUGACACACAGUGUGAAGGAUUUUAUAUUUUU
ensembl:snRNA U6 U6 spliceosomal RNA